rnacentral:rRNA from 1 species
UCCACGCCGUAAACGAUGAAUGCCAGCCGUUGGGGAGUUUACUCUUCAGUGGCGCAGCUAACGCUUUAAGCAUUCCGCCUGGGGAGUACGGUCGCAAGAUUAAAACUCAAAGGAAUUGACGGGGGCCCGCACAAGCGGUGGAGCAUGUGGUUUAAUUCGACGCAACGCGCAGAACCUUACCAGCCCUUGACAUGUCUAUGACCGGUACCAGAGAUGGAAC